ACUACGGGAGGCAGCAGUGGGGAAUAUUGGGCAAUGGAGGAAACUCUGACCCAGCAACGCCGCGUGAAUGAUGAAGGUCUUCGGAUUGUAAAGUUCUUUUCUAAGGGAAGAAGAAAGUGACGGGACCUUAGGAAUAAGCCUCGGCUAACUACGGGCCAGCAGCCGCGGUAAUACGUAGGAGGCGAGCGGUAUCCGGAAUGACUUGGCGUAAAGGGAGCGUAGGUGGUUUGACAAGUUAGUAGCGUAACUCCAAGUCUCAACCUUGGAACUACUACUAAAACUGUUGGACGUGAGUGCAGGAGGUGCAACCGGAAUUCCUAGUGUAGCGGUGGAAUGCGUAGAUAUUAGGCGGAACACCAGUGGCGAAGGCGGGUUGCUAGACUGUAACUGACACUGAGGCACGAAAGCGUGGGGAGCAAACAGGAUUAGAUACCCGGGUAGUC
rnacentral:rRNA from 1 species